rnacentral:rRNA from 1 species
CCCUUAGAUGUUCUGGGCCGCACGCGCGCUACACUGAUGCAUUCAACGAGUCCAACCUUGACCGAGAGGUCCGGGUAAUCUUUGAAACUGCAUCGUGAUGGGGCUAGAUUAUUGCAAUUAUUAAUCUUCAACGAGGAAUGCCUAGUAAGCGUGAUUCAUCAAAUCGCGUUGAUUACGUCCCUGCCCUUUGUACACACCGCCCGUCGCUCCUACCGAUUGAGUGUGUUGGUGAGGAGUUUGGAUUGGCCUCGGAAGGUGGUUCGCCACCGUCCGUAGCUGAGAAGUCCUCCAAACCGCCCCACUUAGAGGAAGGAGAAGUCGUAACA